GACGAACGCUGGCGGCGUGCCUAAUACAUGCAAGUCGAACGCGAAAGGCUUGAAGCCUUCGGGCGGAGGGCCGAGUAGAGUGGCGAACGGGUGAGGAACACGUAGGUGACCUGCCCCGGA
rnacentral:rRNA from 1 species